UGGUUCUUUUUAAAGUUGUGGCAGAAGUUACUUGUUCUUCCCCCUGUUUUCAUUUUCAUCAUUUCACUGUCAACCAAGUUGGUUAUAAAACUUGCUUCACCAAGAUUUACUCUUUUACUAAAAUCGAAGCCCGAUCGAGAAAAAUCUUGAAAAUGUCACAAGCUGCAAAAAACCGGCCAGCGGAUUGCUAGACUGCAGAGGAGAAACUGCAUCAAAUUCGAUCAACCUCAUUUAAACUAAGUAGGCGAUUAGAAAGGCGUUCGUGAUGGUAGACAACAAAGUUAAUGAUCACUCCAUCGUGGAGAUUACGGAUGAGGACAGAGAUGUGAUUGCACGAAUCAAUGGGAAUUCGGAAACAUCGCGUGAACAUAAAAAUCAAGUGGAAUUGACAGUAUCAUCUCUUCGAGGAAAGCUUCACCGGCAGCCUCCAUUCCCAGCUUGUAGCUGCAUAUUUCGAGUCCCUAAAGUACUACGCAGGCAUAACGAAAAAGCUUUUGUUCCAAAUUUGGUUUCAAUAGGGCCUUUUCACCACGGAGAUGAGAACUUGCGAGUGAUGGAAGAAAUCAAACGGUGGUACUUACAUUGGCUACUUGAACGAAACCAACUCCGAAGACCAGCUUGGAGUGCUUUG